UCAUAAGCAAAUUGAUUUGAAGCGUUGGGGUAAUCCCCAAACCUAGACAGAUCGGUGCGGCAGAGGACUCGACGGUGACCACAGUUUUUCGACUUUAUGCUUUUUUUAAUUUAUGUUUUUAUUAUUAUUGAGAUGUAACUUGAGGACUCUUGGGACUUUUGCUUAAAUUUUGUUUUUAUUUAUUUUUUUGUGAAUUUAUAACUACUAGUCAUAGGAAGUUCGGUUUUCAAAAAGCUAACAUAUUUUCUAAA